rnacentral:rRNA from 1 species
UAGAGUUUGAUCCUGGCUCAGAUUGAACGCUGGCGGCAGGCUUAACACAUGCAAGCCGAGCGGUAUAGUUCCUUCGGGAACUAGAGAGCGGCGUACGGGUGCGUAACACGUGUGCAACCUACCUUUAUCUGGGGGAUAGCCUUUCGAAAGGAAGAUUAAUACCCCAUAAUAUAAUGAUUGGCAUCAAUUAUUAUUGAAAACUCCGGUGGAUAGAGAUGGGCACGCGCAAGAUUAGAUAGUUGGUGAGGUAACGGCUCACCAAGUCAAUGAUCUUUAGGGGGCCUGAGAGGGUGAUCCCCCACACUGGUACUGAGACACGGACCAGACUCCUACGGGAGGCAGCAGUGAGGAAUAUUGGACAAUGGGUGAAAGCCUGAUCCAGCCAUCCCGCGUGAAGGAAGACGGCCCUACGGGUUGUAAACUUCUUUUGUAUAGGAAUAAACCUAGAUACGUGUAUCUAGCUGAAGGUACUAUACGAAUAAGCACCGGCUAACUCCGUGCCAGCAGCCGCGGUAAUACGGAGGGUGCAAGCGUUAUCCGGAUUUAUUGGGUUUAAAGGGUCCGUAGGCGGACCUGUAAGUCAGUGGUGAAAUCUCAUAGCUUAACUAUGAAACUGCCAUUGAUACUGCAGGUCUUGAGUGAAUUUGAGGUAGCUGGAAUAAGUAGUGUAGCGGUGAAAUGCAUAGAUAUUACUUAGAACACCAAUUGCGAAGGCAGGUUACCAAGAUUCAACUGACGCUGAGGGACGAAAGCGUGGGGAGCGAACAGGAUUAGAUACCCUGGUAGUCC